rnacentral:sRNA from 1 species
AUGCAGACAGUUGGGCGAGAGACAGUGAGAUAAU